rnacentral:tRNA from 1 species
AGAAUAUUAUUAUAAAAAGCUGCUAACUUUUUUAGUAAUGAUUAAUUUCAUUUAUAUUCUU